rnacentral:misc_RNA from 1 species
CUCUGCGCCCUCUUCUCCUCUUUUUGCUUUCGUGUGUGCCGCUGCUGAGCUGCGACAACGCAGACGGCUGCACACACACACACACACACACGCACAUGCACACACAGCGGUCACCACCCCCAUCUUCUUACCCCACAUGCGAGCGCUGUAGUAAUGCCGACAUUUUGGAAAGAGCAGGCGCAUGUGCGCCGACUCUACAGCGCCCCAGACAGCACUAGCGAGCUCAUUGCCACCUGCGACAAGGCCUACGUGCCUUCCUUGGCCUACGCAGCUUCGACCAACUCCGCUGUGGUGGUUGCAGAGGACGACGCGACGGCGCCACGAGUGCAGCUUCCUUUCCCAGCCAUUGACCUUGCGUGGUGCCCCUUCAAGAAGGGCACCGAAAAUGCGGCCUACGCGACGGCGUGCCACAGCCAGCCCAUACAGAUAUGGGACCUCGAGGACGCCGAGCUGCGCGCCUCGUACACGGCGACGAACGACAGCGACUACCACGUCCACGCGCACGCACUGUGUUGGUUCAAGGCGCCGACGCACCAGCACUGGAUCGCUGGUGGCUACGGCGGCUUCGAGGAUGUCACUCAGGUGCGCGUGUUCGACAUCAUGGCUGAGGGCAGCCAGCCCAUCUGGUCGUACAGCGACAAGCGCGGCAAAGGGAUGGUGUCCGCUAUGCAUGACUGCCAGUGGCAGGGCACAGUCUCGCUACUGGCGGUGGGGAGCUACGAUGCGCCGUCGGUGCACCUCAUCGACUGCCGGAAGCGGUGCCCGGUGGCGGAGUUGCAUGGGCUUAAGCGGGGCGUGCAGGUGAUACGAAGCGGCAUCGACGGCUCCGACCCAUACUGCGUCUACGCCGGGGGGAGUCAAGGAGAUAGCCGCAUCGCGUGCUGGGAUGUGCGCAAGCCACGCGCGCCGCUCUUCACACUAUCCAGGCCCGUCCACACGAACCAAGUCUUCCAGUUCGACCUGCUGCAUGUGCACGCCGCCGCUGCCUCCGAUGACAGCGCUUCUGGUUGCUCGCGUGGUCUUGUGUCGACCUGCUCUGCAGGCGGGGUGCUGUUAUACCGAUGGCGUCCAGGAGAUAUACCCUCUGACGGCACAGAGGAGCACAUUGGCGCCUCUGUGGGCCCGACUAGUGGCUUGGCAGUGGUGGGGCCCGACACGGUCGUGGUGAGCACCGGCAGCCGCACGUACGACGUAUGUCCCGAAGCGCCCAAGGAGAGGGCCCGCACCCUUGCUCUACCAUUGCCGUGCCGUGACAACGAUCACGGCGAUGAAACGCUGCAACCACACUUUCCGGUUCAUAGGCGCCAACGAUCGCCGAUGCAGGACGGGUCAGAUGAGGAGUCAAGCUCGGAAAAGUUAGAGCUUCUCACUACCACUGAGGCAACGAAUAUUGCGGUUCUCUCGCUUACGCAGCGACAUACGUGAAGCCUCGAAAUACAUCUGUCAUUCUCAACGCUACACGUCUCAGUACAUCACUCUUAAACCUUGCACAGCAUUGGUUCUCGAUUACGGAAGCUCGGGGGUAGGCGCAGCUGACGUCUAGUGCAACCCCACCCACUCUCCGCCGGAUACUCAGGCACAUGCACCCCCCUUUCCCUCCCCCGACACACACAAACUUCAUGCCGUGUGCCAAAG